rnacentral:rRNA from 1 species
GAUGAACGCUGGCGGCGUGCCUAAUACAUCCAAGUCGAGCGAACAGACGAGGAGCUUGCUCCUUCGACGUUAGCGGCGGACGGGUGAGCAACACGUAGGUAACCUACCUAUAAGACUGGGAUAACUUCGGGAAACCGGAGCUAAUACCGGAUAAUAUUUCGAACCGCAUGGUUCGAUAGUGAAAGAUGGCUUUGCUAUCACUUAUAGAUGGACCUGCGCCGUAUUAGCUAGUUGGUAAGGUAACGGCUUACCAAGGCAACGAGACGUAGCCGACCUGAGAGGGUGAUCGGCCACACUGGAACUGAGACACGGUCCAGACUCCUACGGGAGGCAGCAGUAGGGAAUCUUCCGCAAUGGGCGAAGGCCUGACGGAGCAACGCCGCGUGAGUGAUGAAGGUCUUCGGAUCGUAAAACUCUGUUAUUAGGGAAGAACAAACGUGUAAGUAACUGUGCACGUCUUGACGGUACCUAAUCAGAAAGCCACGGCUAACUACGUG